rnacentral:sRNA from 1 species
UUUAUGGGGACUUUUUGGGGGGUGGGGAGGGCUCUGUUCCAGACAUGACUCCCGGGUAUACCAUGUGGUGUGGCCUGUGAAUUUCCUCCCCAUACCUGUUAC